rnacentral:rRNA from 1 species
AGUGAACGCUGGCGGCGGGCCUAACACAUGCAAGUCGAACGGCAGCACAUUAAGAUUUCGCCAUUACGGGGGGCGGGGGGCGGGCGGGUGAGGAGUACAUCGGCUUCUACUUUUCGGGGGGGAAAAACUGGGGAAAACUACGCAUAACCCGUAAAACAUCUACCGGUGAAAUGAAGGGAUGUUCGGACCCUUUGCGUCUCUAAGAGACGAUGUCGGAUUUGCUUAUUGGGGGGGUAAAGGCCCACCACGGCGAGGAUCCGUAGCCUGGCCGAGAGGAGGAUCGGCCACACUGGAACUGAGACACGGUCCAGACUCCUACGGGAGGCAGCAGUGGGGAAUAUUGGACAAUGGGCGCAAGCCUGAUCCAGCCAUACCGCGUGGGUGAAGAAGGCCUUCGGGUUGUAAAGCCCUUUUGUUGGGAAAGAAAAGCAGCAGGUUAAAACCCCGCUGUUCUGACGGUACCCAAAGAGUAAGCACCGGCUAACUUCGUG